UGGCUGUAGCUAAAUCGAUCAACGGGAGAGAAGUUAACUGGCCGGUUGUCGUGAGAUCCCUCUCAGUCGACUAAUCUGCUUACCGAACUUCUCACAUUC
rnacentral:snoRNA from 1 species